AUCAAGGACUAAAUUAGCCAUCAGACAAGCAGGACUUGUUGAGAAAGAGAGUGGAAAACUACUCAAUCUGCAAGGUUCAAGACAUGGUUGUGAUCUUUGAUGUCAUGGUACCUUAACUUCAACAACAAACUUGAUAAUAGAACAAAUUACCUCUGGUGGUAUGUCAAGAUAUAAUACCAAAUCUGGAGCAAGCAACCCCAUCUCUGGUGCCUGUGUAACAACUCAUUUUUCACUACCAAAAGGGAAGAAAUGGCACCCAGAAAAAAUAAAUAAAUAAA